UUUUCUUUUUUGUGUGGUUCCAGAAGUUGGGUGUCGUUUUCAUGGUUUUCUGGAGUCACAUGGCUUAACCUCUGAGGCAUGUGCUGGCCUGUUUGCCCUGGUUCCCAUCCACAGAAGAGUGAGGGGACUCAAGGACCAACCUACACAUGGGUCGCAACAAUCUGUGAUUCAAUGCUACAUAAUGCAAUGCCCUCUUCUGAUCUCCUGAGGAACCAAGCAUGUGUGUGAGGAAGCUUUGGUGAGCUCGCCCCUCCUGCUGUCGCUCCAGAGUCGCUGAAGAGAUAAAAGCCAUA